AGUCAAAAGAAUAAGUAGUCUUGAUAGUUUAUCUUGACACGGAAGUACUAAAAUACCUUCUAAGAGAAUUAGUGGUAAACAACUAAACAUUCAUUAUUUCACACUUAAUUAUCUCAAGACUUGUAAUAUUCCAACAUUUGGCAGCAGCCUUAAGCCCAUUUUGGUUAGCACAGCAAGAAUUGUACCUCUAUAUAACAUGAGAGAUUGAGUACCCUCUACAUAGCAAGAAUCAGCAAUGACAGGAGAGAAAGUGAAAUUGCUUGGAAACUGGGCAAGCCCUUCUGCUCUGAGGGUUCAUUGGGCACUGAAACUGAAAGGGAUUGAAUAUGACUACCAAGAAGAAGAUCUCCGAAACAAAAGUCCUUUGCUCUUGCAGUACAAUCCAGUUCAUAAGAAGAUUCCAGUUUUGGUUCAUAAUGGGAAACCUAUUGCAGAAUCACUAGUCAUACUUGAAUACAUUGAAGAGACAUGGAAGCACAAUCCCCUCCUCCCUGAAGAUCCUUAUGAAAGAGCCAAGGCGCGUUUUUGGGCAAAAUUUGUUGAUGACAAGUGUGUGCCAGGAAUAUUUGGUACUUUCGUCAAGGUCGGAGAGGAGCAGCAGAAGAUAGCAAAAGAAGCUCGUGAGAACUUGAAAAUUUUAGAGGGUGAACUAGGCAAGAAACACUUUUUUGGAGAUACGAAAAUUGGCUUCAUGGAUGUUGCGUCUGCUUGGAUCAUCUGCUGGGCUCAGAUUGUUGAGGAGAUUGUGGAUAUCAAACUUAUUGAUGCUGAGGAAAUGCCUUCACUUGUUUCAUGGUUUCAGAAUGUCCUCGAAGCUGCUCCCAUUCUGAAAGAGUGUACACCACCCAAAGACAAAUUGUUAGAGCAUAACAAAGGGUUCCACAAGAUGUUGGUUGCUUCAGCAUCACCUUGAAAUCUAAAAUAACCUCCCAUGGAGGAAGAUUUUACUAAAUGUGAUUAUACGACGAUACUUGUUGAAUCAGAUAUAUUCAGAAAAGUUGAGAUGCCCACCAAUGCUUAUAUCUUACAGUGGACAUAGAGGCUCAGAUGGUGCACAGAGUAGAUUAAGAGCAGUAUAUUUGAUAAAGCUGCAUCUUCAUCCUAAACCUGGACUAUGCAUAAGCAGGAAAAUCAUCUAUCAUAAUAAAGACUUUGGUCCUUGCUGGCAGACUGUUUGCCUUUGGUAAGAUAUUCAGAUAUUUUUUUUGGAAUUUCAUACGUGAAUAUCAAAUGCCGAAAGUCUCAAGUAUCAUGAAAAACAGUUAGUAGAAUAACUCU